ACACAUGCAGUCGAACGGAUCUUCGGGAUUAGUGGCAGACGGGUGAGUAACGGCGUGGGAAGCUACCUUGUGGUAGGGGACAACAGUUUGAAAAGACUGCUAAUACCCUAUGAGCCCUAUUGGGGAAAGAUUUAUCGCCAUGAGAUGUGCCCGCGUUAGAUUAGCUAGUUGGUAAGGUAAUGGCUUACCAAGGCGACGAUCUAUAGCUGGUCUGAGAGGAUGAUCAGCCACACUGGGACUGAGACACGGCCCAGACUCCUACGGGAGGCAGCAGUGGGGAAUAUUGGACAAUGGGGGCAACCCUGAUCCAGCCAUGCCGCGUGUGUGAUGACGGCCUUAGGGUUGUAAAGCACUUUCAGCAGUGAACGAUAAUGACAUUAACUGCAGAAGAAGCCCCGGCUAACUUCGUGCCAGCAGCCGCGGUAAUACGAAGGGGGCUAGCGUUGUUCGGAAUCACUGGGCGUAAAGAGUACGUAGGCGGACUGAUAAGUUAGGGGUGAAAUCCCAAGGCUCAACCUUGGAACUGCCUUUGAUUACUGUCAGUCCUUGAGAUCGAGGAGACGGUGAGUUGGAAACUCCCGAGUGUCAGAGGU
rnacentral:rRNA from 1 species